rnacentral:lncRNA from 1 species
GAUAAUGCAAAUCCAUUUGCAGCUCUUCUGGGGAACCAGGCAGGGAACCAAGCUAGUGAUGGGUCAACUAAUCCAUCAAGUGCUAACUCUGAGUCCACCACAGGUUCCCCAGCUCCAAAUACCAAUCCGCUGCCCAACCCAUGGACUUCUGCUGGGUGUAAGCUCUCUCUUUCUCACCCUUCAUAUUAAUCAUUUUGAAGCAGUUGAAAAGUAAAUUACUGUGUAUCUUCUUAUGUUCUUUGUUCUUAAUCUUUCUGCUAACUCCUCCUUCCUCCUUCCACUCCUGAAAGGUGUUAGGUUUGCAAUGAGUCUACUUUCUAUAAUCAUUUCAAUGACAUUCUGAGUUAAGUUAAAAAUAUGUUAUUUAGAUUUCAAAAAUAUUGUAUGUCAAUGGGUGAUGGUAGUGCUUGAGUUAGGUUGGCUUUUUAGUGAUUUUGUAUUUCAUCACUGGUCUGUUUAUAACCUUUUCUCAGAGUUCCUAGAUAUUUAAUACAGUUUUAUUUAUUUACUUGCCUUUUAUUUUAUGCACCUUAAAAAUGUCUUAUGAAGCAUGUGACAUUUAACUUUGAUUAAGUUAGUGUUUUAUAUGUUUCUCUCUCUCUCUCUCUCUCUCUCUCUCUCUCUCUGAUUAUCAGUGCUUAAAAAUGCAAAAUAAUAGAUAAUCUAUCGACUGCUUUUGCUAACUUCUGAUUAAAUGCAACUUUUAUAGCUGGUGCUGCCCCCCAGGCUAACACCACAAGGUCAAAUACUGCUGGGGAUGCUAGGGCACAGGCACCUGCUGGGUUAGGUGGACUUGGUCUUCCAGAGUUUGACAACAUGUUUGGUGCUAUGCCAGACGCUAAUCUAAUGACUCAGUUAUUGCAAAAUCCAGCUGUUUCACAAAUGAUGCAAAGCCUCCUUUCCAAUCCUCAGUACAUGAACCAGGUAACAAAAUGUCCAUGUUGCUUGGUAUAAUUCUUCUAAAUAUAACAUCUUGCCAACUAACAUCAAUUUUAUUUCAGGUUCUUGGUUCUAAUCCUCAAGUUCGUAGCAUGCUUGAUUCCAAUUCUCAAUUAAGAGAGAUAAUGCAAAACCCAGAAUUUGUUCGUCAAUUAACUUCUCCUGAGACAAUGCAGGUACAUCUGUCGAUUUUUGGCUUUGACUCUCUACUCAUUCAUGCAUGCACAUACCUCUCCCUAGUGAUCACAACAUGUGUGAAGUGAAGAUGGCUGUGAAGUUGGUAUUAGAUAUUGAAUUGUUUUUGUUUAAGCUAUUCAUGAUGUUUGCAUUAUUUAAUCAGUCACCAAGGUUAUUAGAACUCCCAAAUGGUGCUAUAAUGUUUUUCUUUUUUAGUAAAUUGAAGAUAUAAGCCAUAUGGUUUCUUUCAUGCAGCAACUUUUGACCUUCCAGCAAGCUCUGUUGUCUCAGCUUGGUCGGCAGCAGUCAAGCCAGUAAGUUGUUCCAUAGUUUUUUCUCUUAGUUUUUCCUGGAAAUUUCCAUUGACCUUUUGUAGGAAUGGUCAAGGCAUUGGAUGGUUUUCACCUGUUUUGUUUCUUAGGUCUCUCAUCUACAUGUGACAUCUUAUGUGGGUUAGCUGUUCAGUUUGUUUUUCAGUUUACUAAAUUGGUGUCCUUUUGCAGGGAACCAGGUCAGACAUCAGUGCUUAAAAAUGCAAAAUAAUAGAUAAUCUAUCGACUGCUUUUGCUAACUUCUGAUUAAAUGCAACUUUUAUAGCUGGUGCUGCCCCCCAGGCUAACACCACAAGGUCAAAUACUGCUGGGGAUGCUAGGGCACAGGCACCUGCUGGGUUAGGUGGACUUGGUCUUCCAGAGUUUGACAACAUGUUUGGUGCUAUGCCAGACGCUAAUCUAAUGACUCAGUUAUUGCAAAAUCCAGCUGUUUCACAAAUGAUGCAAAGCCUCCUUUCCAAUCCUCAGUACAUGAACCAGGU